UUUUACUCUCUCGCCUGUCGCCUCUAUCCCCACUAUCGCAACGUAAAUACAAGAACAAAACAAAUUUCUUUUUCAACCGGACAAGUGAGGACUGGUGUGACAAAAGUGUCUUGUUUGGAGGAAAAUUAGUGGUGUCGGAAACCAAAUAACAGUGACUAAUUGUGUUGUGUUAUGUCCUGUUUUGUUUUUAGGCCAGGCUGGCCAGACAGUCUAGGUUUCGGUCUAGGCUAUAAUCGUCGCAAAAAAUGCCAAAUCAUCAGAAAAGGCACUGCCCACCUAACGGAACCUGGAGAUAAUUUUAUGUUUCGGGAUUUGAAGCUGACGGAAAAUUAUGCUGCGGUCAAGGGUACGGUGUCUACAUGCCUACGAUGCGCACCACGAUAAGAGGCUACAGUUUGCUACAGUACCUUGACGUACCUUUAGUGCUGCCUUAAAAUUGCAUUCUACCUCAACUAAAAAUGCUGGAAAAAAGGAUCUCGAAGAAUAAAAAAAUAAAAACUUCUA